CCUCCCCCGCCUUCGAGCGCACGCUGCCAACGGAAAGAAAAGUCACUCGCGUCGCGCAGGCGGAAAAAGCAGCCAGCAGCAGCGGAGGCGCAAAAAGCGAAAACCACCCUCACCGCAGCAGCUCGGCUAGCCUCCAGGUCCAGGCCACCACGGCGAAAGGUGGAGGGAGGAGAGGGAAAACAAAGGGGACACAACCAAAUUCGCAGCGCCGGCUCCCCCAAAACCUAGCCCCCUCCCCUCUCCCCGGCGUCGUCCCAUGUGCCCCGUGUCGCCGGCGCCCCGGCGCCAGCAGUAGAUCGCCGCGCCGGGGAUGGCGCGGCCCGGGCACGCCAUGCGCCGCUCCGGCCGAGGACUGUUUGAAGAUGCUCCAAGGAAGCUUUCAUUUAAUUUGUUGGUUGUUAUAUUGGCUCUGGAAUUUAUCAGUGAGACCAAUUUGAUUGCCAAAACAUUGGCCCUAAAGGCUGACACUCCUGCUAUGCCUCCUUCACAAGGAUGGAGUCCAGUUCGGACCACGUUGUCCCGAACCAAAGUUGGCACAAGUGUUGCAAUGCAUCAGCAUAGGCAAAAGAAGCUACAUUCAUCGCCAUCUGCUCUGUCAUCUGUGCACCCUCCUAUUUCCGCACCGAGUUAUAGCUCCAUCUCUGGUGCUUCUGACCUCUCCUUGUAUUCCUCGGACCUGUUCGAUCCUUCGCUGCAGCAUAACAGGCGCUUACCGGAAGAUGUUACUGCUCAUGAAAAUGCUGCACCCCCUGAUACAGCUUUGAAUACUAGUGCAGCUCCUUCUGGAUUAGUACAGCCUCCAAUAUCUCCACACGAUGGCUGCUGUGCUCCAAACAUGGUACAAAGACGAGGGAGCCAGGACUGCCAUUGUGUUUACCCAGUUAGAGUUGAGCUCUUCCUUCACAAUGUUUCCUUGAAUUCAAAUUGGAGCAACGAAUUUCUCGAGGAGCUCGCGUCGCAGCUCAGCUUGCGGGUUACGCAGUUUGAGAUUGUAAAUUUUUAUGUUGUUGGAACUUCUGGGCUAAAUAUGACAAUGGACAUAGCUCCCCACACUGGAAAUAGCUUCUCAUCUGAUCAAGUUACUGCAAUGAAUUAUUCUCUUAGCUCGCAUACAGUUCGGAUCAAUCCGGUGCUGGUCGGGGACUACAAUCUUAUUAAUUUAACGUGGUUCAGGCCAUUGGGUCCAGCUCCUGCUCCAGCAUUCAUGAUAUCACCUAAGGCAUCUCCAUCUACAUCAUCUGCCUUACCAAAAACGAGUGAGCACACCAGCAGUAGCAAGCACUUGAGCCUGGUCACUGUCAUUUGCAUAUGUAUUGGUGCUCUAAUUGGUGUCCUGGUGAUUGUUCUAUUUAUUUGCUUCUGCACAUUUAGGAAAGGAAAGAAGAAGGCGCCUCCUGUUGAAACAUCCAAGCAAAGGACACCAGAUGCAGUAUCUGCAGUUGAAUCACUCCCUCGCCCCACAAGUACAAGGUUCCUUGCAUAUGAAGAACUUAAAGAAGCAACAAACAACUUUGAGGCUUCAUGUGUGCUUGGGGAAGGUGGUUUUGGCCGUGUCUUUAAGGGGAUACUAAGUGACGGCACUGCUGUUGCUAUUAAGAAGCUUACUACUGGGGGGCACCAAGGAGAUAAGGAGUUUCUAGUUGAAGUGGAGAUGCUGAGCAGAUUGCACCACCGCAAUCUUGUGAAACUCAUUGGAUACUAUAGCAACCGUGAAUUGUCACAAAGCCUUCUUUGUUAUGAGCUUGUUCCAAAUGGAAGUCUAGAAGCUUGGCUUCAUGGCUCAUUAGGCGCUGACUGCCCCUUGGAUUGGGACACCAGAAUGAAGAUAGCACUUGAUGCUGCAAGGGGAUUAGCAUACCUUCACGAGGAUUCACAGCCUUGUGUAAUCCACAGGGAUUUCAAAGCUUCAAAUAUAUUGCUCGAGAAUGACUUUCAUGCUAAAGUGUCUGAUUUUGGUUUGGCCAAACAGGCACCAGAAGGGCGCUUAAAUUAUCUUUCAACUCGUGUUAUGGGAACUUUUGGGUACGUAGCACCAGAGUAUGCAAUGACAGGACACUUAAUUGUAAAAAGUGAUGUAUAUAGCUAUGGAGUUGUUCUACUUGAACUACUUACUGGGAGGAGGCCUGUGGACAUGUCACAAUCUUCGGGGCAGGAGAAUCUAGUCACAUGGACACGGCCAGUCCUUCGGGAUAAAGAUAGGCUACAGGAACUAGCUGACCCCAAGCUUGGUGGACAGUAUCCGAAAGAUGAUUUUGUGAGGGUGUGCACAAUCGCAGCAGCCUGUGUUUCCCCGGAGGCGAACCAAAGGCCAACGAUGGGCGAGGUGGUGCAGUCACUUAAGAUGGUGCAACGCUCCACGGAGUUCCAAGAAUCUGUACCGACACCGCCCGCUCGUCCUAAUGCCCGGCAUACUGCAACGACAUAUGAAUCUGAUGGCACUUCAUCCAUGUUCUCAUCCGGACCCUUCUCGGGCCUCAGCCCCUUUGAGACUGAAAACAUGUCAAGAACGGCGGUUUUCUCGGAAGAUCUUCAUGAAGGGGCCGCGGUUGCGGCGGACGCCAAGCCGUACAGCCCGGCGGACUCCAUCCUGCUCAACUGCGGCUCCACGGCGGACGGGCUGGACGCGGACGGGCGCAAGUGGCUGGCGGACACCAACAACAACAUGUGGCUGGGCGACUCCGGCAAGUCGUCCCUGAUGGCGGCGGCGGACGAGCUGGACUCGUCGCUGCCGUCGACGAUCCCCUACAUGACGGCGCGCGUCUUCACGGUGGACACGGUGUACAACUUCACGGUGAACCCCAAGGACCGGCACUGGCUCCGCCUCCACUUCUACCCGUCCUCCUACAACGGGAUCGCGCCCGAGGACUUCCGCUUCUCCGUCUCCACCUCCACGGGCCUCACCCUCCUCCACAACUUCAGCGUCUGGGUCACCACCAAGGCGCUCACCCAGGCCUACAUCGUCCGGGAGUUCUCGCUCCCGCGGACGCCCGCGGGAUUCAUCGCCGUCACCUUCACCCCGACGCCCAUGACCAACGUCACCUACGCCUACAUCAACGGCCUGGAGCUCAUCUCCAUGCCAGACAUCUUCGAGGACCCCGCCAUCAUGGUGGGCUUCGCCGACCAGACCGUCGACAUCGCCACCUCCUCCUUCCAGACCAUGUACCGCUUCAACAUCGGCGGGGGUUACAUCCCGCCCUCCAACGACUCCGGCCUCGCCCGCUCCUGGUUCGACGACACGCCCUACGUCUUCGGCGUCAUGCAGGGGGUCAGCUACACGGCCGGCCCCCGGUUCCACGUCAAGUACCCCACCGAGGCAUCUGAGUACGCCGCCCCCGUCGAGGUCUACCUCGGCACCCGCUCCAUGGGCUCCGACCCGCGCGUCAACCAGAACUACAACCUCACCUGGACCAUGGAGGUGGACGGCAACUUCACCUACGUCGUCCGCCUCCACUUCUGCGAGCUCCUGCUCAACCGUCCCAACCAGCGCGCCUUCGACAUCUACAUCAACAACAAGACGGCGCAGUCGGACGCCGACGUCAUCGAGAUGACGUCCGAGCGUGGCGUGCCGGUCUACAAGGACUUCGCCGUGCAUAUGGCCGACGACCCCGGGGAUGAGGUCAUGUGGGUGGCCAUGCACCCGUCCGUGGCGCUCAGGCCCCAGUUCUACGACGCCAUCCUCAACGGCCUCGAGGUCUUCAAGCUCAACGACACCGCCGGCAACCUGGCCGCGCCGGACCCCGUGCCGUCCAAGAUGCUCGCGGAGGCGGAGCUGGGCGACAGCGAGAAGGACCGGUCCAAGAAAUCCAAGGACCAGGCAAACAUGGCGACGGUGAUAGGUGGCACGGCGGGCGGCGCCGCUGCGGUGGGGAUCGUCGCGGCCAUCUGCGUGGUAGUCUACCACAACAAGAAGAACAGGGAGCUCACCGGCAGCGACUCGCAUAACUCCGGCUGGCUGCCGAUGUACCACUCUACAACCAGCGGCAAGUCGUCCGGCCACCUAGCGGCGAACCUGGCGGGCAUGUGCCGGCACUUCUCCAUCGCGGAGAUAAAGACGGCGACCAAGAACUUCAGCGAGUCGCUGGUGAUCGGCGUGGGCGGGUUCGGGAAGGUGUACCGCGGCGUGGUGGACGGCGACACCAAGGUGGCCAUCAAGCGGUCGAACCCGUCGUCGGAGCAGGGCGCGUUGGAGUUCCAGACGGAGAUCGAGAUGCUGUCCAAGCUGCGGCACCGGCACCUCGUCUCCCUCAUCGGCUUCUGCGAGGAGAGCAACGAGAUGGUCCUCGUCUACGACUACAUGGAGCACGGCACGCUGCGGGAGCACCUCUACAACAAGGGCAGCAACCCGCCGCUGUCGUGGCGGCACCGCCUCGACAUCUGCAUCGGCGCCGCGCGGGGUUUGCACUACCUCCACACCGGCGCCAAGUACACCAUCAUCCACCGCGACGUCAAGACCACCAACAUCCUGGUGGACGAGAACUGGGUCGCCAAGGUCUCCGACUUCGGCCUCUCCAAGUCCGGCUCGUCCACAGUGAACCAGGCGCACGUCAGCACCAUGGUCAAGGGGAGCUUCGGAUACCUCGACCCGGAGUACUUCCGGCGGCAGCAGCUCACCGACAAGUCGGACGUCUACUCCUUCGGCGUCGUGCUGUUCGAGGUGCUCAUGGCGCGGCCGGCGCGGAGCCCGCAGCUGCCGCGGGAGCAGGUCAGCCUCGCCGACUAUGCGCUCAGCUGCCAGCGGAAGGGCACCCUGCGGGACGUCGUCGACCCCACCAUCAAGGACCAGAUCGCGCCAGAGUGCCUCGUCAAGUUCGCCGAGACGGCCGAGAAGUGCCUAGCCGACCAAGGCUUGGAGCGGCCGUCCAUGGGCGACGUGCUGUGGAACCUCGAGUUCGCGAUGCAGCUGCAGGACGCGUUCGACGGCGCCAGCGGGCGACGGCAGGCCCAAGACGACGGGAGCGGCAGUGGGCGCCCGGUGCUCGAGCCCAGCAACAGCUAUGGGAGCACCGCCAGCGUAACGACGAUCGGGACGUCGUCCACGUCCAGGGCGCACGACGCUUGCGUCGUAAUUGAGGAGGAGGACGACGACAUAACCAACCGCGCGGUCUUCUCGCAGCUCGUGCAACCCACCGGGCGGUGACACGAGCCCAGCGGCUCCCUGUUUCCACGGGAGCGCCAAGCGUCAAGAGUGAAGAGAGUGUGCUAUGUGUUGUGUUGUUGGUGCUAAAUUUUGAGAUUCUCU